CUGAAGGAUUAUAUCGAAGAAUCAAAUGGUGGGGUAACGCCCUGAAGGGUUCUCUCUUAGUCGAAUAGCACUUGAAUUAGUAAGAAUAAUAGUGUUAUAAGCUCGGCGAAAAGGCGUGAGAAUUUACCGUAACAGUUCGGCUGACGAAAGCCUACCCGAGGGGGUGGUGUAAAUCAUGAUGCUUGAGUUGAAUGA
rfam:Bacillus sp. SA1-12 scf7180000003367, whole genome shotgun sequence.